rnacentral:misc_RNA from 1 species
AUAUGGAUUCUAUGAUGAGUGCAAACGAAGGUUCAAUGUUCGACUGUGGAAAGUAUUUACAGACUCUUUUAACUGCCUCCCUGUGGCAGCUCUGAUUGAUGAAAAGAUUUUGUGUAUGCAUGGUGGACUCUCUCCUGAUCUUCAGCAUUUGGAUCAGAUAAGGAACCUUCAACGACCAACUGAUGUUCCAGAGAGCGGGUUACUCUGUGAUCUUCUCUGGUCUGAUCCUAGUAAAGAUGUUAAAGGGUGGGGAAUGAAUGACCGUGGAGUUUCUCACACCUUUGGCCCUGAUAAGGUGACAGAGUUUCUCCAGAAGCUAGAUCUUGAUCUUAUUUGUCGUGCCCACCAGGUUGUGGAAGAUGGAUACGAGUUUUUUGCUGAUAGACAACUUGUGACAAUUUUUUCAGCUCCUAAUUAUUGUGGCGAAUUUGAUAAUGCUGGUGCUAUG